GAUGAACGCUGGCGGCGUGCUUAACACAUGCAAGUCGAACGGAAAGGCCCAAGCUUGCUUGGGUACUCGAGUGGCGAACGGGUGAGUAACACGUGGGUGAUCUGCCCUGCACUUCGGGAUAAGCCUGGGAAACUGGGUCUAAUACCGGAUAGGACCACUUCUUGGAUGUUGUGGUGGAAAGUUUUUUCGGUGUGGGAUGAGCUCGCGGCCUAUCAGCUUGUUGGUGGGGUAAUGGCCUACCAAGGCGUCGACGGGUAGCCGGCCUGGGAGGGUGUACGGCCACAUUGGGACUGAGAUACGGCCCAGACUCCUACGGGAGGCAGCAGUGGGGAAUAUUGCACAAUGGGCGCCAGCCUGAUGCAGCGACGCCGCGUGGGGGAUGACGGCCUUCGGGUUGUAAACUCCUUUCGCUAGGGACGAAGCGUUUUGUGACGGUACCUGGAGAAGAAGCACCGGCUAACUACGUG
rnacentral:rRNA from 1 species